CAUAACUAUGCUAAAAUGAUUUUUUUUGUGAGGAAACCACUGAUUAUAUUGAAACAAGAAUUACAGAAAAGAACGCCAGAAAGCUAGAAAUUACACACAGGUCCUUUCUGCAAAACAACGUCGCCGACGCGAAGAAGAACGUGCCGGUGGCGGGCCGCCGCUGCAUCUCCACACGAACCUUGGAUCGGGAGAUGUCCCCAGGCGGCGGGGUAGUCGCCGGACCUCGAACUCCGGGGAGCCUCCACUCUGCUCCGCUGGUAACGCCGUCUUGAUCCAACAUCAGGGGCUUCCGGGUCGACAACUGGAUCCGCCGCGUCGAGAUCCAGAGGGGGAUAAACGCACGCAUCGGCCACCGGGGACCGCGAGCGCGGACGAGGAGGCGCUCCGCCGUAGCGCUCAGAAGAACUCCACCGCCGGAGGGGACGAGCACCACCUGCAAAACGAAGACCGGCCGCGCCGCCCACUCCAAGACGCCGCCGGCCAGGGUCCCAACAGAGCCUACCCUGUACACACACGCGAGACAAAGCUCCCCCACCCUCCCGCCGCCGCAGCGGCCGACGGAGGGCAGGGGACCCGGCGAAACGACGACGGAGGGGUGGAUCUGCUCGGGGGUUCCAGAAAAGUCGCCUCUACUGUAGCGGGAGAGGGGACGCGUCCAAGGUCGCGUUAACUUUCAUGCUAAAAUGAUUCCCCUUAAAGUAAGAAAAAAG
rnacentral:rRNA from 1 species